rnacentral:snRNA from 1 species
UUUUGCAUAUACUCGAAUA